GGACCGACGCGGAUUACGGU
rnacentral:siRNA from 1 species